rnacentral:rRNA from 1 species
AACGAACGCUGGCGGCAUGCCUAACACAUGCAAGUCGAACGAGACCUUCGGGUCUAGUGGCGCACGGGUGCGUAACGCGUGGGAACCUGCCCUUAGGUUCGGAAUAACUCCCCGAAAGGGGUGCUAAUACCGGAUAAUGUCUUCGGACCAAAGAUUUAUCGCCUUUGGAUGGGCCCGCGUUGGAUUAGCUAGUUGGUAGGGUAAAAGCCUACCAAGGCGACGAUCCAUAGCUGGUCUGAGAGGAUGAUCAGCCACACUGGGACUGAGACACGGCCCAGACUCCUACGGGAGGCAGCAGUGGGGAAUAUUGGACAAUGGGCGAAAGCCUGAUCCAGCAAUGCCGCGUGAGUGAUGAAGGCCUUAGGGUUGUAAAGCUCUUUUACCCGGGAUGAUAUGACAGUACCGGGAGAAUAAGCUCCGGCUAACUCCGUG